rnacentral:rRNA from 1 species
UACGGAGGGUGCAAACGUUGUUCGGAAUUACUGGGCGUAAAGCGUGUGUAGGCGGCUUUGCAAGUCGGAUGUGAAAGCCCCGGGCUCAACCCGGGAAGUGCACUCGAUACUGCAGGGCUUGAGUGUCGGAGAGGUUGGUGGAAUUCUCGGUGUAGAGGUGAAAUUCGUAGAUAUCGAGAGGAACACCGGCGGCGAAGGCGGCCAACUGGACGAACACUGACGCUGAGACACGAAAGCGUGGGGAGCAAACAGG